rnacentral:rRNA from 1 species
GCUACAGGCUUAACACAUGCAAGUCGAGGGGAAACGAUAUUGGAAGCUUGCUUCCGAUAGGCGUCGACCGGCGCACGGGUGAGUAACGCGUAUCCAACCUGCCCAUCACUUGGGGAUAACCUUGCGAAAGUAAGACUAAUACCCAAUGAUAUCUCUAGAAGACAUCUGAAAGGGAUUAAAGAUUUAUCGGUGAUGGAUGGGGAUGCGUCUGAUUAGCUUGUUGGCGGGGUAACGGCCCACCAAGGCGACGAUCAGUAGGGGUUCUGAGAGGAAGGUCCCCCACAUUGGAACUGAGACACGGUCCAAACUCCUACGGGAGGCAGCAGUGAGGAAUAUUGGUCAAUGGGCGAGAGCCUGAACCAGCCAAGUAGCGUGCAGGAUGACGGCCCUAUGGGUUGUAAACUGCUUUUAUAAGGGAAUAAAGUGAGUCUCGUGAGACUUUUUGCAUGUACCUUAUGAAUAAGGACCGGCUAAUUCCGUGCCAGCAGCCGCGGUAAUACGGAAGGUCCGGGCGUUAUCCGGAUUUAUUGGGUUUAAAGGGAGCGUAGGCCGGAGAUUAAGCGUGUUGUGAAAUGUAGACGCUCAACGUCUGCACUGCAGCGCGAACUGGUUUCCUUGAGUACGCACAAAGUGGGCGGAAUUCGUGGUGUAGCGGUGAAAUGCUUAGAUAUCACGAAGAACUCCGAUUGCGAAGGCAGCUCACUGGAGCGCAACUGACGCUGAAGCUCGAAAGUGCGGGUAUCGAACAGGAUUAGAUACCCUGGUAGUCCGCACGGUAAACGAUGGAUGCCCGCUGUUGGUCUGAAUAGGUCAGCGGCCAAGCGAAAGCAUUAAGCAUCCCACCUGGGGAGUACGCCGGCAACGGUGAAACUCAAAGGAAUUGACGGGGGCCCGCACAAGCGGAGGAACAUGUGGUUUAAUUCGAUGAUACGCGAGGAACCUUACCCGGGCUUGAAUUGCAGAGGAAGGAUUUGGAGACAAUGACGCCCUUCGGGGUCUCUGUGAAGGUGCUGCAUGGUUGUCGUCAGCUCGUGCCGUGAGGUGUCGGCUUAAGUGCCAUAACGAGCGCAACCCCUCUCCUUAGUUGCCAUCAGGUUAAGCUGGGCACUCUGGGGACACUGCCACCGUAAGGUGUGAGGAAGGUGGGGAU